rnacentral:sRNA from 1 species
UCAGCGGACUGCUCGAGCUGCUU